ACACAUGCAAGUCGAGGGGUAUAGUAGCAAUACUAGAGACCGGCGCACGGGUGCGUAACGCGUAUGCAAUCUACCUUUUGCAGAGGGAUAGCCCAGAGAAAUUUGGAUUAAUACCUCAUAGUAUAACGACUCGGCAUCGAGAUGUUAUUAAAGUCACAACGGCAAAAGAUGAGCAUGCGUCCCAUUAGUUAGUUGGUAAGGUAACGGCUUACCAAGACUACGAUGGGUAGGGGUCCUGAGAGGGAGAUCCCCCACACUGGUACUGAGACACGGACCAGACUCCUACGGGAGGCAGCAGUGAGGAAUAUUGGACAACGGGCGCAAGCCUGAUCCAGCCAUGCCGCGUGCAGGAUGACGGUCCUAUGGAUUGUAAACUGCUUUUGCACAGGAAGAAACAACGCUACGUGUAGCGUCUUGACGGUACUGUGAGAAUAAGGAUCGGCUAACUCCGUGCCAGCAGCCGCGGUAAUACGGAGGAUCCAAGCGUUAUCCGGAAUCAUUGGGUUUAAAGGGUCCGUAGGCGGUCUUAUAAGUCAGUGGUGAAAUCUCCCCGCUCAACGGGGAAACGGCCAUUGAUACUGUAGGACUUGAAUUAUUAGGAAGUAACUAGAAUAUGUAGUGUAGCGGUGAAAUGCUUAGAGAUUACAUGGAAUACCAAUUGCGAAGGCAGGUUACUACUAAUGGAUUGACGCUGAUGGACGAAAGCGUGGGUAGCGAACAGGAUUAGAUACCCUGGUAGUCCACGCCGUAAACGAUGGAUACUAGCUGUUGGGCGCAAGUUCAGUGGCUAAGCGAAAGUGAUAAGUAUCCCACCU
rnacentral:rRNA from 1 species